UAAUACGAAGGGGGCAAGCGUUGUUCGGAUUUACUGGGCGUAAAGCGUCCGUAGGCGGUUAGGAAAGUCAGAAGUGAAAGCCCAGGGCUCAACCCUGGAAUUGCUUUUGAAACUCCCUUACUAGAGGCCGGGAGAGGUAAGCAGAAUUCCGAGUGUAGAGGUGAAAUUCGCAGAUAUUCGGAGGAAUACCAGUGGCGAAAGCGGCUUACUGGACCGGUUCUGACGCUGAUGGACGAAAGCGUGGGUAGCAAACAGG
rnacentral:rRNA from 1 species